AUGAAGAUGAGCCCUGCAGUUGUAUAUCCGAUGGUAGCUCCGUGGGUACUUGUUUGGCCUGAUAUUGACUGGUAUUUAUUAGAGUUAAAGAAGAAAGGAAAAGAUCAAAUAGAUUUGGUAAGUGCAUUCAAGCAUCACAUAAGUAAAGAUUAUAAAGAAUACAUACAUAUAUAUACAGAUGGUUCUAAGAAACCUGAGACAGGAGUGACAGGAUAUGGGGUGGCAAUUCCUGCUAAAGGAAUAGGAAUUAAUAGAAGAACGUCAGAUUUUUUAGGAGUUUACACAGUGGAAAUGGUAGCAGUAUUAGUUGCUUUAAGGUGGGUGGAAAAAACAAGACAAGAAAAGGUGCUGAUAUUAUCCGAUUCAUCCUCAGUCCUAGUGAGUUUAAGGUCUUUUCACUCAAAAAGCCGUCAGGAUGUGUUAUAUGAAGUCCUUCAAUCAGUAACAAGGAUAGCAAAUCAAGGAGGACAGGUUCAAUUUAUGUGGGUUCCAGCACAUGUAGGGGUGAAAGGGAAUGAGCAGGUGGAUGAACUGGCAAAGAAGGCUUUAAAGAAGGGAAAUAUAGAAAUGCAAAUUAAAAUAAGUAAAGCAGAGGUCAAAAGUAUCAUCUGGGAAAAAACCAACCAAAUGUGGCAAGAAAGAUGGGACAGAGGGGAGAAAGGAAGGCAUUUAUAUAAAAUUCAAAAGAGUGUAAAAAUAACUAGGUUAGGUGGUGGGUACAGAAGAGAAGAAACCGUAAUGACAAGAUUAAGGUUGGGGCACGGUGCGCUAAACAAAUCACUGAAAAUGAUAGGAAGACACGAGACAGGCUUGUGUGAGUGGCGUCAAGAAGAGGAGUCAGUGGAGCACAUAAUUAUAAGAUGUAGGAGGUAUGAGGAACAGAGAGUGAUAAUGGAGAAUAAUUUGAGGGAAUUAGGGGUUCAGGAAUUAACCUUAACAGGACUGAUGAGCAUAGGUGACAGAGCACAGGUUAGAAUAUUGUUAACUUUCUUAAGGGAAACAGGUUUGUUUAAUAGAUUAUGA
ensembl:lncRNA